AAUAUCUUAAAAGGUUAUUUUGUGACCCAGAAAGGGUAGUCUGGGGAAAAGGAGGAUCGCAUUUGUCGGCUAUGUUUGUCAGAGGAGCGCGGCUAAAAAACUUAUUACUUUUUCUGGGUCACAAAAUAAACUUUUAAGAUAUUUUCAGGCGAGAAUGUAGCUGUGUAAAUUUCAAAUAUCUGCUCGAUUUAUCAAGACAUCACAUAUUUGCAAAAAUGCUCGGACGUUUUCAGAGACGUCCAUUUUUUUCAUGCUUUGUGGCAGCUUUUGAACAUCUGUGGCAUCUAUAAAUGUCAAAUCUAGCCUUUAUUUAACAACAUAAGCAAACUCUAUGUUACGAUGAUUGCACAGUCAUUAAGGAUCAAAUCAAUGUUCUGUUUUUUCUCCCUCUGCUUGCUUCUUACUGUCUUUGAGGCCGAUCGGGACCAACACUCCUGUUGUUGGACAGAAAGACAUCAACUCAGUGACUUGAGAUAUGACUGCACUAUGCUGUUGCUGUGACUCCAGUUAAUUCUACAAGACAUGCUGUGACACCAGGAGAGAUGAGUCCUCCGUCACAGAUGGUGUGGUCAGUGAAGAUGGUCGCCUGCAAGUUCAAGCUCAUUGCAUCUCCAACCCACA